rnacentral:rRNA from 1 species
ACUGGGAUAACUCCGGGAAACCGGGGCUAAUACCGGAUAACAUUUUGAACUGCAUGGUUCGAAAUUGAAAGGCGGCUUCGGCUGUCACUUAUGGAUGGACCCGCGUCGCAUUAGCUAGUUGGUGAGGUAACGGCUCACCAAGGCAACGAUGCGUAGCCAACCUGAGAGGGUGAUCGGCCACUCUGGGACUGAGACACGGCCCAGACUCCUACGGGAGGCAGCAUUAGGGAAUCUUCCGCAAUGGACGAAAGUCUGACGGAGCAACGCCGCGUGAGUGAUGAAGGCUUUCGGGUCGUAAAACUCUGUUGUUAGGGAAGAACAAGUGCUAGUUGAAUAAGCUGGCACCUUGACGGUACCUAACCAGAAAGCCACGGCUAACUACGUGCCAGCAGCC